GAAGGAGCGCGGCGCGGGCUCGCCUGGGCACCGGGGCCCAGGCCGGGGGGGGGCGGUCAGUGCCGGCCGUGUAGGUGGGAGGCGCCGGGGGGUGUAGCGGGCCACUAGGCCCUGGAGAACCACUGAGCUGGGGGCCGGCAGAGCUGGGACACCGCCCCCGGGUUCCGCCGUGGGGGCGGGGGCGGCGAGACCCCUCCCCCUUUUGUCUUAGCACCCCGGGCUGGCCAGGAGCAGUCACCGCCUCUUCCUUCCCGAGGGGGCAGUCGAGGCACACGGGAUACAAGCAUGUGUCCUGGAAUUGUGGAAGAGGCAGAGCUAGGAUACGAACCUGGGACAUGUGGCUCCUGGCCCGCACUGCGCCAGGAUGAGGAAAACGUGCUACACUUUCCUCCACCGUAAAAAUGGCUGGACUUAGGAAAACUAAUGACUAAUAUGUCCACCUCCUAGCAAAUGUUUGGAAUGAACAUGAGAAAUUGCUGCCACAAACAUUCUCGUACAGGUUUUAUGUGAACGGAAGUUGUCCUCUCUCUAGGAUAAAUAUCUAGGAGUACGAUUGCUGAGUUACAAGGGCUGCGUCCGGUCCUUGUGUGCCAUCCUGCCUGGCACAGAACGGAGGUGCUCCAGGUGUAUCUGCUGGACCACCGAGCCAAGGCAGAAUAAACUUCAGGAGGCCCAACUGUGACUACUGCGACUCCCCUUCACAAAAAUGAGGACAUCUCCACCUUCAAACCGUUUCCUACUGGUUAUGGUUCUAGACAUUAUUCUCUAAAUGACCGAAGGCACUGCAACUCAAAGUGUGUUCUAAAGACCAGCAGCGCAGAAAGACCCAGAAGCUUGUCAACAAUGCAGCCUCUCAGGCCCACUACAGACCUGCAGAAUCGGAUGGGGGUUUCUAUAGUCUUCAGUGUAAGAGAUGCACUGUCCUAAGGUUUAGGACAUGUGGGAAGUCACUCAACUGUACCGGUUAAACCAGGAAAGAAGGAACCCAAGAAUAUUAAAAGCACACUAACUACAUCUUAGCAAUCAGAAGAACUAUUAACUAAUUUAGCCUACAUCUGAAAUUUGUCCUGGAAUUUAGCAAGAGCUUGUGAGACUGCAAACACCCAACCAGUCUCUCUCUUCUAGGUCACUCUAAUAAAUGGCUAUGUGAUGAAGGCUGUAAGGUAGUUAUUUGUUCAAUUCCCGCAAACUUAAAACCGUUAAUAAUAAAGUUCUCUUGCACUACAGUCUUCCAGUUUUUAGGCAAAAAGCUCAUUGUUUCCUUAUAAAGAGAGAUCGAAAUGACCAUCCAGUGUUGAUAUAUUUCCUAGAUUAGGGUUGACAGAACUUUCUGCUGUGACGGAAAUGUUCUCUAUCUGUGCUGACCAACAUGGCAGCCACUAACCACAAAUGUCUGUUUAGCACUUGCAGCGUGAGUAUAAUGUUUUAUUUCCUUUUCAUUAAUUUGUAUUUAAAUAGCAAACUGGCUAACGGCUACUACACAGGCCGUGUAACUCAAGACCACUUAAAAAAGCUUUAGCAUCAGCACCUGACAACACACCAAGACAGCACUUCCCAAAAUAAUGCAGUUACUUACGUUUGAGGCUGGGAAGGGUCAUCCCCCAAAGAAACGCUCUCCCCUUGGAUUUCAUUGAAACACUUCUCACAGAAAUGAUACCUGUCGGCAAGAAGGCCAUACUGGGGUGAACUGUUCCGUUCACACAACACAGCCCAAGCCAAGCAACGAAGCCACCAAUCACAGCAGGCCAAGGAGGGGGACGGGAGCAGAGAGCAGGUCAUCAACGGCGACAAGGACAUUCAAUGAUGCAGAUUUAUGGGCCCCACAGUUUGGGUUUUUUUGUUUUUGUUUUUUUGUUUUUGUUUUUUUUUGUUUUUUUUGCAAUCAAAGCCAAGUGCAGACAACGACAAGCAUGAGGGAGAAAAAAAAAACACAAAACAAACGAAGAAAUGAGGGAUUGCAGGACAACAAAAAACAUAAAAGCAAGACAAGACAACACAAAGCAGAAAGCCAAGGCAAAGCACAGAUUAGCAUUAAAUAUCUCAAAUGGGAUCACAAGCAGCAAAUGAUUACAGCAAAUAAAACAAAAAAGUAUCACUUACACAGACCUACAUUCUUUCAUUUUAGUAAUUAAUGCUAUUUGAUGCAAAUAAUCAAAAAGGGGAAGGAUAAACAUACUGGAGAGAGAAGAAUUGCUAAUCUAUUACUGAAACACAGCAAUCACACACUUCUCCCCAUUUCCAAUAACAGCAAAAUAAAUAACAAAAAAUGCACUACGAAUACAAGACCAGGAAGCAAUUACCUAAAAACAACCCUGGGUUGAAAAAAACCCACAAAAUUUCUUUUUGCUUCCCAAGGAAGGCAUAUAAAUUUAAAAAAUUCUCUAUUUUUCAAUGAAAAAUCUGCACAAGUGCUUAAAUAUGGAUCGUAGCCAUCAACUGACAUAGCUUAAAAGGCAAGAAAGAAAGGCAGUGGUGUGUGCAGGCACAUGAUGACAUGUUCUGGAUACAAAGAUUACAAACGCUGUAGAUUCAUGUUAAAAAAUCCAAACUGGUAUAAAUGUCAAGACUGCAGCAUGAGAAGAACUUCAUGCCAGUUGUUAACUUGUUUUUUUAAAAUGCAAGUGCUUUUAACAACUUGAGGGUUUUCCCCAGGUAUUAAGAGUGAAAAACUGGAUUCUAAUGAUUACAACAAACCAUUAGGAGAGCGCACCUUUUUGUCAUCAAAACAAAAAGUUCAAGCGACUUUUUCAAAGCUGGAAAUGCAUCUGUAGCACACAAGUUCCGCAAAAACCACCACCAUGAGCUUGGUUUUAUUAAAAGAUAUUAACUGCCCAGCCUUGUUAUUACCGUUUCAGAGCCCCAAGUAAACAUUCUGUGCAUGUUAUAUUGUAGGCUAAUUAAUGAAUCUAGGAGACAGAUCUUAGUUAAAAUAGAUUACUGAAUGCCAUCUUUGGGAUUACAGCCAUUGUUUGGGCAGGAGAAGAUAAAGCAGGGGCACCUAAUUUAUUACAACUCUACCAUCCACUGUCAUAUGCAAGUCUUUUUUUAAGUAAGUCUGGUACAGACCUAUUUUUGGAGGUACUCCUUUUUAUAUGGUUAACCCGGGCAAAGCAGAAACUCUGAAAUCCUGUUUUCAAAUGCUCUGAGAAGAACAAUUUAUGGAGAGGCUGCACACAAAAAUGAAACAUAUCCCAAAUGAUACAGCUGGCUAACAAACUUUUGGUUAAAAGUUUGUGGAUAGUUUUUGGGAAAGGUGAUAGCAGCAGUUUCAUGGACAAGAAAACACUAAUUCGUUCACAAAUUUUCUCAGUUUGCCUCAGGCUGUGGUAAGCUGUGAACAGAAAUGGGAAAGAGAUGCGGGGGCCACGAUGUAAUCCCAUCUAUGCCACCAACUCUUUGAGCUGUUUAACCUCCCAAGGCUUUGAGUUCCUGCCUUAUAAAAAAUAAGGGGCCAGAUAACUGACAGAAGGCUACUUCCUGCUAGAAAACUACACUAAUCCUGCAAAAAAGGCAGAAUGCUAGGACCAGAACUUGUGCUGUACAGCUGUUUUCAAGCAAGGUACACAUGACCAUGAAUGUAUGUGUGCUGGUCCAUCCGCAUGCAGUCCCUGGACACACGGAUACACGGACCAUGGUCCACACAUAGUUGAGCUUACCUGUUCUGGUAACUGUAGUAAGUGGCAUCACGAGGGAUUGUGCAUAACUGUUUGCCAUAGCAACAGAGUGUCUGUGGAGAGAACUCCAACUGCAACAGAAACCAUUUGUUAAAUAGUACACACACCUGCAAGACAAGCUAGAAUAUUUACACUGGCAAAUCAGAAACAAAAGUCAGUGAAUUCUUAGUUCUCGUUUAUGCAGUUAACGAGCGAUUUCAGUUUCCAAGGCAAUACACAGAACCACAACCAUUCUAGUUGACUAUACUAUAGCAGUCCCACUGAUCCACAGGCAGAGACCAUUAGUAGAUGCCUAAGAUUGUGGACCGCACCAAACCCUAUACAUACUGUGGUUUUCCCUAUACGUACGUAACUAUGACAGAGUUAACUUACAAAUUAGGCACAGUGAGAGAUUAAUAACUAGUAAUAAAAUAGAACAAUUACAAUAGCAUACUGUAAUAAAAGUUACGUGAUUGUGGGCUCUCUCAAUAUCUUACUGCACUGUACCCACCCUUCUUGUGAUGACAGAAGAUAUAAUGCCUAGGUGAUGAGAUGAAGGGACAUGAACGAUGGAGGCACUGUGAUGUAGCAUAAACGAUAUUGACCUUUUGACAAUACGUCAGAAGAUGAAUCUCUGCUUCUGGACCAUGGUUGACUGAGAUGGCGGGAAGUGAAACCACAGGUAAGGAGAGACUACGGUACAGUAUUAUGUCACCACUCCGAGGUAGGCUUAGCAGUCAUAUCCUUCAGCCACUUAGCAAAAAAACUCAAUGGGACAAGAGGAGCUACAUGUGAACUGGUGUGCAACAAAACAACAGUACGUGCCAGGCACUGUGCACCCAUAGAUAAGUAAGAUCCAAAGCCCUAUUAUGAGUUUACAAUCUGAUGAUUCAGGAUUCUAUUAGUCAAGUUUUCAAUAAUUCUUACCAUGCAAAAAUUUCUUACCUUUCUGCCACAACAAUAUCCAAGGCUUUGCAUUACUGGGUCAAUUUCUUGUUCAAAGACCUCAGACAGCUUGGAGCAGUAUUUGU